GGCGUCUCGGCGCAUUCGUAAACAAACUUUCAUUCCGUUUGGAGGUCCGAAGAACACCGGAAGUCCCUUUUCAAGCCUUCGUGCAUCGAGGACGUCGUUACGUCGCAUGUGUCUUUCUACCUGGUGAAGAUGUAGACACACAACGAGAGCAGCACGGAGUGGCCGCUUACCAGCACCCUAUGGGGUCGUUGCUAAAACAAUCCGUUCACAACCGUGUCUGAUGUGGUUGGAGUAUGGAUUUUGAAGAACGCGAGAAAAAAAAUAGAGCGCUUUAGAGUACGAUCGAGAUUUGUCCUUGGCAACGUCACUCUCUGAAACAAAAUCUGUCUCAAGAGACAUACAAAGAGACAAAAGAAUACAAAUAGAGGCACAAGGCGAGAGUCUUCGCCCGUGGAUUGGAAUAAGAAGGCAGAGAAUCGAGCAAAAAAGCAAAGGAGCGUUACUUGUCUAUCCAUUCGCGACUUUUCGCGAGCGAAUCACCGAGAGGAUAGGCAAAAUUCCGAGAGGGUUGUUGGAUUUGACGCAGGCAGUACCUUUUUCGGUGCUGUAAUAGUUAGAACGCCGUCCGAGGACAGGCUCGAGGUAACAUUUUCCACAUCGUGAGACGAGGGCAGGACGUAUCUUCUGACGAAGUGUCUGCUGAUAUAGCCGUGUUCGUCUUGCUUCUCUUCGUGUUUGGCCUCGACGAUCACGUUAUUGUCGACCGUCUUCACCGUGAUCUCCUCCGGUGAGAAUUGCUGAACAUCCAGUAUCACCUGUAAGCGUAAAAUUUAUUUGACUUGAAGCUCCAGUUGCAUAAUUACUUUUCUUAACUACUCAACCGAUAACCACCGUAUACAUCUACUUCUACGUAUGACUUGUACUUGGCAAAAAAAUCCUGUUAAUACUGAAAUUCUCAUCAAGAGUAAAAAGAAGCUUCUGUCAAAACUUAAAACACACUGAUCCACUCAGUGUGUGACUUAAAUUGAGAAAAAAUCUCUGAAGGUUAUUGGUUCUAAGUCAGCUUCUAUAUCUAUUAUAAGACAAUAGCUAGUUACUAGCAAACUUAAAUAACUUGGCACUGAUUACACUCUGCUGAUUUUGCGUUGUUACCCUCCUCAGGGGGAACAAGCAAGUAAACUUGUGGCAAAGCCGUAUUUUUCAUUAAUUAUAUUAUUGCGUGAAGUGAGAGUGGAGAGAAUUUAGUUUUUAGAUUGAUAUCCAGCGCCCUAGGUAGGUUCCUCUGAAAGAUGUAAAGACUAGUCACGUUUAUCCAAACUAUUUUCAAAAGUUCUUUUCUACCGCGCUUUAUGUAACACUCUUCGGUCUUCUUGAUUUUUGUAAUAGUACAAAAGUUAACCGGAAAAAUGUAGCUCUCGGGCGCACCUACUUGUGUGAGACAAAGUUCUUUCGUACAAGACGCGCGUUUACAUACAAGUAGGUGGUAAUGAAUUUGCACGAUCGAAAAAAAACAGAUCGUUGUGCAACCGCAAAAACGUAUAAAAUGAGCUUUAUCGACUCGUGCCCCGUUGCAGAAUCGCGUUAACCGGAUGUGGCUGUUCCGUGCCGUGUCAGUUUGAUAUCAUUAUCCAAACAGGAGAACACCGUGCUGUUUAGUAGUUAACGUAAAAUAACAGCAGAAAAGGCAAGGCAAACGGAUCUUGUGAUUAAUUUAUCGCGCUCCUCGAUGUAGAGGACGUUAAUUGUAUAGCUGUACAUAAAGCAAAGUUUAUACUGAUCGCUCUCGUUAAGAUAAAAAAAAUUGAAAGGAUUUAUUUUUCUAUACAUAUAUUUGGAGCACGAACGAAGGUGUGUAGCGCGACGGGCGGCGCCCCGACGCGUGGGGGCGUUGUUACGCCCAAUUCCUGUCCAUCGUUCUCUCUUCUCGAUAAGACUGAGUUCCAGACAUAUUUUUUAAUCGGCAAUUCCGUUACCCCAUAAACCUAUUCGCAAAGGAACUUUUCACAUCUGAAGGCCCUUCUUAAUUUAUGCAUUUUCGAAAUCACAUUAGGCCCGUGAUUCUUUGGUAUCGUAGCACAUAAACCGAGCAUUUGACAUGUUUAUUUAUCACUAAAAGAAACAAGAAAAAACACUGGAAAAUUGUGUAGUCGAAAAAGAUAAAUAGAACACGUUGGGGGGGGGGAGAGGGUCGGGAGGAUCGAAGGCGAGAAGGGAUGGUGGAGUAGAUCAGUUCCUUUUCGAGAUUUGUAUUUAACAGGGGAAAAAGUUUCUCGGAUAUUUUCGGAUAAUUUCUUGUGGCUAUUUCUGGCUGCAGUGGGAGGACAGGCAAAUCCAAAAAUAAUUCGUACACUUCACUAGCUGCGAACGCGCAGCUGAGUCACGUAUUAUAAACGUGUGCUACGAUGCUCGAAAAUAAUCGACUUCCAAAAUUUUUGCAGUGCGGGCCUUCUGGUGUUCUCAUUUUUUAGAAAAUUUGUUUUUGGAAAUUUUGAACAAAUUUCUUUUGGUUUCAAACGAUCAAUGGCACUUUGGAUGUAUGCCGAUCCAGAAUUUAGUUUGUCUCUUGAUUUAAGAGUCACGGUUAUGCGUUGAGUACACUAGACUCGAUUCUUUUUUUUUUUAACAAGAGUUUGAGUUUUUGUUUUUUUAGUAUUUUUUUUUUUUUUAAUACGAAUGCGCCCGCUUAACAUAACUUUUGCCUUUGCGUUGCCAAGAGCCCAUCGAUCGCCCUGAAUCGCAGAUUUCACGUGAAUCCAAAGGUGUAAUAUUAUAUGGUGUUAGAUAGCGUGUGAGAAUCGUAGAUGCUUCGGCGCCUAAUCGAAAGAGUUGUACCAGAGGGAGAGUGUUUACUCAGGCUUUUAUUUUUGUGUGACUGCGUGCGUGCAUUUAAAGAUCAACUAGCAGCUCGCGAUAAUAGCUAAUGCUUAGGGAUUUCAAACGUACGAAAACGAUAAAAAGAAUCGUGCCAAACAUCAAUAAGACAAAUCCAAAGAGCACGCACGAUUUUUGAAAAGGUGAAAAAAAAAAGAGAAAAGUUUAAGAUCCGAUACCUUUACUGUUGGGAGGUAGUGCGUUUGAUAUAUCUGGGAGAUUUACGUGUUUAGAGAUUUUCUCAUAAGACGGUGGCUGUUAGUUUGCUAACGAUUACUAAGUUACAUUAGUCUAUAUAGUGAGAAAUAUCGAGAUACAUAAAAGGAAAGUAAUAAUAAUCGAUUUUAAAUUAAGGCACGUUUUAUCCAGUGUAAAAUAGUUUAUCGAUAUUUAUACGAGACAUUAACGAGAACCUGCAACCGCUUCUCUGAAAUUUAAAAAAAAAAGUAUUUUCAAAUUUUCGUCUUUCCAAAUAUUCUGUGUCUUGGGUCAUCGACGUCUUGGAGUUCGUUUUAAAUAUUUUUUUGACUUAACGUAAUAUUAACAUCGUGUUAUCCAUCGUGCCCUUCUGGUACUGGCCAGUGAAGUGAAAGAGUUACUGAUAUUUUAAUUACUCUCCGAAUUUUUUAUUAAGUACAUCACAUUUUUUGUCUGUUUCUACUACGAUAUAGUAUUUGAUAAUUUGUUGCAUCACUCAAUUUUUUCCUGUGUAAUUUAACAAUUUCCAUCUAGUUUUUCACUUAAUUAUUAUUAGCUAGAGACGAGCAACGACUAUCCCACAAGUUUUCACAAUUUUGUGAUACUUGCGAGAUAGCCGUUGCUCGUCUACGGUGCUGAAUUUCUUUUUGAGGAAAUAACGUUUACAGUGGGAAAGGAUAUUUCGAUUAAAAAUUAAUAAUAAAAGCAGUAUAAAUUGUUCUCUAGUUAGUUUUGACUGAGGUCACGACAUAAUACUUUCGAUUAGCGUUCCUGUUUUUACUACAAUAAAAAUGCAAAUUUGCCCCAUGAGAUAAAGAGAGCAGACAUCACUUGAAUUUAUAUAAAAGUUCUGAAUAUUCUUAAAUUUCAAAAACAACAUCGUAUAAUAUCCUAUCAUAUUUGCGCGUUUCACGAAUCGUAUGAAAUGUGUUGCGAGUAGUUUGAAUAUCAUUGUCAAGAGGUUGGUUUUUACCCGAAUUUGAAAAAGCGUAAAAAAAGCAUAUCUUAAAAAAAGAGGGGAAAAGGUAGCAAUUACUCUACUGGCAUUUCAACAAGGGAAUACUUGAAAUUCAUUUGAGUAGAAGGUGGUAGUAAAAGGAAUAGAUUCAGCGAGACACUAGGGGUCUAACAAGGGUCAAGAGUUCAGCCUCGCGAACAACCCUCGUCUUUUCCAUGGCAGCCCAACUCCGCGCCAUGGAAAAGACGACGGUUGUUCGUUGUAAAGAAAUACAAUCAACAAAAAUAAAAAAAAGUUUUCAACAUUCUCACAAAACUUUGUCCCAAAAGAAACAAACUCUAACCUCAAAACAACGCAAUGCGAUACACGUUACAAUUUUCUAUACAAAUCCCACGCAGACCCACUACAAAGAACGAUGUCCCUACAAGAUAAAGUAAUAAAAUUCUUGUAUAGCCCAUCAACCCAGUACCAACAAAGCAAAGUAACGCAAAAUAUAUCCCCAACUUCAUAGCAGAGAGUAGAGCAAUUAGAGAUUCGUCCAACAAAAGCAACGUGGUGCAAUAAUAACACAAUGAAAAUCCGCAUUAAGCUUACCUGAAAUUUAUCCUUGUCAGCCUGAACUGUACUUGCACCCCCAGAAUUCUGACGCACCACGUUCCUCCAGGGUCGGUAGUAUCCACUGUUGCCAAAUGCCGAUCUUGGUCGGUUCAAGCUCAAGCUCGAGAGUCCUGAUAGAAGAUCGUCACGAUUCAGACCGCUGCCAAAGUGCUGAUCAAUGAGUCGUGAGGUAGGUCGAUCGAAGUCGUCCCACCAUUCGCGAUACAUGAGAGGUACGACGGACAUCUGUCACGAGGAGAAUGAGAGAUACAUUGUGAAAGAAAAAAGCAGUCCAAGUGAAUAAUUUUAAUUGACGAGUCAUUUUCAUUGUGGUGAUUUUUCGAGGAGAGAUUGAUAAAUGCGAGGAAUGGUUAAAAGAGGGAUUAAAACAAAAAAAAAUUUAAAAAAAAUAAAAAAAUCUUUAGGGCGUGUCGAGAAAGCGCUUUUGUGUAUACCACGACUGACUACCGUAGGAAGAGUGUAACUUUUAGUAGCGGUAUUUAAAGGUAUACUAUGGGUGCGUAGACUUAUGCUUAGGUUAUACCUAAUAUGCUAGGAUUGUAUGUGCUAAUUUUUUAAAGUUAUUCUGUACGGCUCUAGUAACAGUAACAGGCGGGAAAUUUAAAAAUGGCUCAUUGAAAGGAUUUUCUUCCUUUUCUCUUCCGAUUUGAAUAUCUCAGUGUUUUUUCACGGAUUACCGUUUCUUAGAAUCGUAUUAUUCGGAAUUGUUCAACGGUCACUAUUCACGAGCGAUCCCUUCCGGUGAGCCAAAGUUUAGAUACAGUCAGGUUCCGAGCGGAGGUAAUAAUAUUCGAGGCGUCUUUGUAACUCGCACAAUUAGAUUAUACGGUGUUUUUGGCGUAGGCUAUGUAAUCUCGACGUAUAGUUUCGCAUAGGUAUUUUCUUAGCGUUAGGGUAUUUUUUGUCCUUUCAAAUCCCAUAUUAACCACGCGAUUUUUCUCACCCCUAUACGUAUAACGUAGAAUCGAAAAUUGGUGACAAGACAUCAAAAUUAAUUAGUAACGAGCUCAAAUUAUGCAACAAAUUUUUACCUUGCAAUUGGCAUUGUGACGUGUGAUAGCGAUUUUUUGAAAUCAAAACAGAACAAGGAUCGACAAACCGGGGUAAUGAUAAUUGCCUGCCAUGUCGAUAAACGCGAAUCGAGAUGCUUUUUUUGAUAAUUGGACAAACGCAAUGAAAAUUGAAUUUUUAACCAUGAAAAAAUCAAAUCUCACCUCACUUCAUUAUUUUUAGGUUAAUCGUUUAAAGAUCUAAUUCUUGCAGAACACAGAACGUUAAAAUUUAUCUCACCAGUGUCCACUUAAUAUCUUGUAGUGCGUAACAUAAAUUGAGGUUAACGCUUGAGACAAGGAAUAGCUAGGAAUAAAAGCGUGAUCAUCGGCGUGGAAUAUCGUGAGUUCUAGCAAGGAACGAAAACAAAAAAAUCGCGGAAUACAAAUAAUACCGUAGCGAUCCGUGCGCACCAGUAGACACUUUACAGUUCCUUGUCUAAUAUCUAUAUAUCUUCUUAAACGUCCCACUAAUUACACUACGUUAAGUUAGAUUAGGGUCAAAAGUGUCGGAGAUUUAAGGUCGGUCAGGUUUAAGCACAUUGUACCUAAUACUAAGCGCGUUUAACGGUUUUUGGAAUUAAUAUGUAUGCACAAAGUCGGGUCUGAAUUGAAAAUCACAAACAACGAGAAAGGAUCGAAUGAAAAGAAAUUGACAGAAGAAAAAUUUAUUGAGCCAGUUUCUCCAUGCACGAGAUAUAUUGACGUUUGACACGCGGGCGCGCACGUAUUUACGACAUUGCUAUCAAUAGAAAAAAGUAGGCUUAAACAUCAAGUCAGGGAAUAAAGUUAAACGAGACGCGAGGUUUAUUGAAUACGUAAUGUUAGUGGAGUGAUAAGGCCUUUUUUAUCACGUAUAACGAUAAUACCAGUUAGAUUUAUCGAUUAUAGGGAUAAGAUAGGGUUUCGCGUAAACCUUCUAUCGUAUUGAUACGUUAAAUAAUGUUAAAGUCAGGAAAAAUGCACUCGUCACGCAAAACUCUGUUAUACGUAAGUGUAAUAUCUGUAACUGUUUAUAAACGUACGGUGAACGAUGGCUGCGGUCUUUAAGCUCUUUGGAUCUUGACGAAAUAAAAAUUUCAGGACUUUAGGCUUGUAAAAGCUCUCUCUAUGCUCUGAUAGAAAUCGCGAAUGUUCCUCGAGUUUAAAUAGACGACGUAGGCGUCCCGAGGAGGAUCUUCCCCUUCCACCGUUAAAAUUGACGGUUGGCAGUCCCCCCUCGCCCCCUUGAACCCCCCUCUCUUACAAACCCUUAUUCUUUCGUCACUUAUACCCCACGCACAAAUCUUACUAUACUCGUCCAAAAAUAUCCUGUGGACUUCAUUCGGCGCUGCGAGUCACCUCUAGUGUACUUAUGAUUCUUGGCGUCCUGACGCUCUUCGAACCCCGAGGUAUUUUACGUUUGCUGAAUCACACCUGGGGAACGUUGAGUUGCGAUCUUGAAUAUCUACUGGAUGUUGGGAAAUUUGUAUGCGGGCGGUUUUUAUGCGUGGGAUGUUAUCGCAUUGAAAUAUCAAUUUCGAAACGUUCGGUUGGCUUUGAGAAAAGGUUAGGAAAUUUCGAGGGACGGAUUUUUUGGAGUAUAAACGAACUUUGAUACGAUCCAUUGUAUCACAGUGUGGGACAAGUAAUGAAGUUACGUCUUUCUUCCAUUUCAUCGUGUUGAUCGCUGAAGAAUUUUAUGCUUGGAAAGGAAGAUUAACUUGCUUGAAUUGCCAGUUGCUGAUUAAUAUUUCACUUUUGACCUGUUGACGUUAAACGACGUCCUUUAUAUUGUGAGUGCUUUGCCUUUAAGAGCUGAAGAAUGUUCGUAGGAACAACAGUCUGAGUAAGCGAAGAGGGAGGGAGGGCACGUUUAUGAUUAACGAUGACAGAAUAUUCUUAGGGCUCGAUUUGAUUAUUUGAAAGAAAGGCAAAAAGCAUCCGAGAACCUUGAAACACCAUGGAAAAGCGGUGCAGGUUGGGGUAGGAUGUAUAUCAUAAGGUUUUGUGUACUUUUCUUAGCUAUGAGAGUCGCAAAAAAAAAAUUAAAAAAAGAACAAAAAAAUAUAUAUCCACAUACAUCAUUCGCUAUGCUGUAUAACCUUACUUUUAGAGGCAGGUAUAACGUAUGGGAUAACUCUUGCAAACAAUGCCUUUUGAAUUAUUCUAACAUCCGUAAAUAUUAUCUUGAACGUCACGCAAGACUUUUUCCAAUUUUUACUACACUCUCUGACCCUAUCUUUUUACAUAUAUAUUUUACACAUACAAUUUUACAUAUAAUAUAUGCUGAAGCCCCCCAAAAGAUGACCCAGUACGAAUUUUCAUAUGCUUUUUUAGAAAUGUAUGGUAUUUUGAUUAUCUAUUUUUUUAAAUUUUAACUAUCACCUUUCUACCCUUAUCUAUGGUAUAUACAUAUUCAAUGGACCUCUAACUGAGCGAAUAAAAUUGAAGUACAGUUUUUAGACGUCUUUAACAUAUUGAAUUAUAUAUUGCUCAGAUUUCUCUUCAAUCAUAUCACGAUGUAAUAUCGUAGAUUCACAUUAACAAGUGUAAUACCAAUUAUUCGUUGCGUUUACCAGAAACCCAAUUAUAGUUUUAGUAUUAAGUUACAUAACCAUAAUAAGGAGAUAAGUAAUAUUAUGCGGCAUUAUAGUUUGUAAAACGUAGCGGUACGAAAGGGUAGGCCUUAAAACGUUUAACAAUCGAUGAUCGCUUCACGGAAGUAUUAUUAUAAUUUAAUGGCAAUGGCAUAUAAAUCAAGCUUUUUACUCGAAUUAAUUAAUUACAGUAUAAUAAUUAAUUGACUGUAUAACGAAAAAAAAAACUUGGAAAUAUUCGAUAAUACUAAGUCUACUGGAUAAAACGAUGUGUAGUUUUCGAUUAUUGUACUCUUUUUAGAGAAAAAAAAUGGAUACUCAAAUUUUAAUUCAUUAUCUCUCAAUAAUAUGUGUAGGUAAUGGUGGAUUUGAUCUGAUCUGGAUUUAUUAACAUCGUAUAUAUAUGUAUUACAUAUGUCCCCUGUGUAACUUAGUAACGUUCGUUGAUAUGGUGUUUGCAUUGUAUGAUGAAUAUAACUAUAUGGUACUUUUGUAUUUUUUACGUAAAAAACAUCCCCGUUAUUAUUAUUAUUCCUUCUGUACGUGUAGUUGUUCACAGCAAUAUAAGCAUACUCUAGAUUAUCAGCGCUAGUGGUGCCAUUUAUCGAUGACAUUACUCGACAAUACAAUCUUUUUAGUUAACCCCUUCUGUUUUUCCAAUAUACUAUUUUGAAAGUAAGGAGUAAAGAGAAAGUAAGUUCUCCGCGUCUCACGAUACCAUGUAAAACUCUAGGACACAUCUAUAUAGAUAUAUAGCAAGGAAAUAUUGGCUUAAAAGGAAACAAUAAAGUUGUGAAAUCUGAUGAAUGAUA